UUCCCUACGGGACGCAGCAGUGGGGGAUAUUGCACAAUGGGGGGAACCCUGAUGCAGCGACGCCGCGUGGGUGAAGAAGCGCCCCGGCGCGUAAAGCCCUGUCAGCAGGGAAGAAGAAGGACGGUACCUGACCAAGAAGCCCCGGCUAACUACGUGCCAGCAGCCGCGGUAAUACGUAGGGGGCAAGCGUUAUCCGGAUUUACUGGGUGUAAAGGGGGCGCAGACGGCGAUGCAAGCCAGGAGUGAAAGCCCGGGGCCCAACCCCGGGACUGCUCUUGGAACUGCGUGGCUGGAGUGCAGGAGGG
rnacentral:rRNA from 1 species